UACGGAGGAUCCAAGCGUUAUCCGGAAUCAUUGGGUUUAAAGGGUCCGUAGGCGGUUUUGUAAGUCAGUGGUGAAAGCCCAUCGCUCAACGGUGGAACGGCCAUUGAUACUGCAAGACUUGAAUUAUUAGGAAGUAACUAGAAUAUGUAGUGUAGCGGUGAAAUGCUUAGAGAUUACAUGGAAUACCAAUUGCGAAGGCAGGUUACUACUAAUGAUUGACGCUGAUGGACGAAAGCGUGGGUAGCGAACAGG
rnacentral:rRNA from 1 species